rnacentral:tRNA from 1 species
AGAGACUUAGGAUAACACAUGUAAACCAAGGACCUUCAAAGCCCAAGAUAGAGGAGAAACCCCUCUAGUCUCUG